rnacentral:lncRNA from 1 species
UUUUAACUUAUUCAUUAGGUAACCAAUUUUAGCUCUGUCUGUGGGAAAAGAUCCCAGUGAGGCCUCAAAAUGAUACUCCAUUUGGUUAAUAAAUCCCUGGCAUUCUUGAAUAUUACCAUCAAAAUGCAGGGGACGAGAUAGGGAGAUAGUACGUGCCAUCUGUACUAUAGCUGGAGGUACACAAGGUGGAGGUGAGGCCGCAGGUUGCAGAUGUGCUGUUCGGGUAAGAAGCGUACUGAAGGCCUGGGCAAAUUGAUCCAUGCGGUGAUCAUUAUCCUCCAGUUUCCUUUCACAAGCAGCUAUGUGCUUCCACAAUUCUACAGGAUCUAUG